CUCCUUCUCCCACUUCUGGGCGGCGGCGAAGAACCCUAGAUCCAGAAAUCCAGAGACAUUUGAGUGGUGGGAGGGCAAGGUUGGGGGCGACCCUCGCUCGUUCGCGGCGGUCGCAGCUACCCCGCCCAUGGCGAACGAUGCGGGACGCGGAUUCCAGGGAGAGGGACGCGGAGGUGGCGGCGGUGGCCGCUCGGAUCGCGGAGGAGGGCGCCAUGGCGGCCGGGGCAGCGCCCGCGGAGGAGACCACAGCAAGUUCUCAUGGCGGCGCGAAGAUGGAGGCAACCACUCCAAGAACGCCUCCGCCAUAAUCCAGCCGGGGUCAGGAGACACCUCGCGCUGAGAUGAGGCGGCGGGUGCUGGUCGCCAUGAGUCCCAGGAGGGUGGGAUCUGGGUGCAGAAGACCCAGGCCUCGUCGGGCUCAGGUGACACCACUGCUGGACGCCAGGCUGCGUCUUCUCCUCGUCAGGUUCAGGGAAGAAGAAACCCUACCCAGAUACCUCCUCCUAAGAAACUUGAUGCCUGUCCUAUUUGCAAAUCUCAUGAGCAUCCACCUACUCGAUGCCCUUAGGCUUAUUGUGAGAGAUGUAGUAAGCUAGGCCAUCUGACAUCUGUGUGUGUGGAAUUUCUUCCUUGGGAGUGUAUGGCAUCUAUGUGCGCAUUUCAAUCUAAGGGGAAGGGGUUUUACUACAUUCAUGAUCCUUGUACUGCUAAUCAGAUUAAGGAGAGGGCCAAUAACAUUGUUGUCACUAUAAUGGAAGGGGAAACCUCCACUCGUCAAAUGGAACUAGAUUUAAAUGCUUAUCUUGCUACUGGAUGGAGAUGCUCUGCUCAUGCAAUAGGACCGGGGUGUUUGUUGUUCGUUUCCCUAAUCCUCGUGCAGUUGCACAGAUUUGCUAUGUUGGAAAAGUCACCUUAAAAACCAGUGGGGCUGUGAUCCAUGCUACACGCUGGUCCUCUACAAUUGGGGCUAAGGGGAUGAUGGAAAUGGCAUGGAUUAAAGUGAGCAAUGUUCCUCUAGAUAAAAGAAGUGAAAGAAAUCUAGCAUUUGUAGCCUCUCUGGCCGGGGUCCCUCUGGAAAUCGACGCAGCUACCCUACAUCGCCCUGCCUCUGCCCGGGUUAGGAUAGGGUGCAGAAAUGUUGAUGAGAUCCCUGUUGUAGCGAAAGCUGUACUGGGAGAUCAUUUCUAUAAAUUUUACUAUGAGGUGGACCAGAUCCUGGUGAGAGACCCAAAAAGGGAGAAAGAGAAGGUGCAAGCCCCUACUAAUCCUGAUACGAACAGUACUGAAAGAAGAAAUGUUCCCUCUAUGGCUCCUGGAGCUCAGAAAGCUGACAUAUCACAUGGGCUUGGAGGGAAAUCUCCCUAAAUUCCCCAUGGAGAUAAAUCAGACCCAAUCCGGGAGUCUCAAGAGAGUACUGAUUCAGAUGAUUCGCUGCACAACACUCUCCUCAUUGACACCAUGGCCUUUGAGAUGGCUCAGGUAAAAGUAAGACCUCCUGAUAAGAUUCCUACAGAUAGUAGUAAGAACCUUCCUAAAAAAACUUACUCUGAUAUUGUCAAAAAAUCUCAGUAGGUGGGUGGUGUUACUGCUUGCUGUGAUGGUGCGAUAAUCACUAAUGAGUACAGAGUUGAAUUGCCCGAGGGUGAAAUGGAGAACGAAGUGCCGGCUUCUCCUCCGCUGGUAACUGAAGAAAAUCUUCGCUUUAGCCUGCGCAACGCCCAGAACAAGAUGGAGAGGGUGGAUGAAAGAGCUAUAGCAGUAGCUAAAAAACGAGACCUGGAAGGUCUGAUGAGGGGCGAAGAUCGUGAAGCAAUGGAGCAUGGAGCUAAGAUGCCGAGGAUCAAUGCCUCGAACAUGAUGCGUAUCUGCGCGGCGCCAGGGGGGACAACUGAAGGUGUGGAUGGCAGAAGUUAGCUCCGAGACAUCCUGUUUUCUCCUGAUCGCGGUUCAUCUGCUUCGGACUACCUUUUUGGGCUCCUGAUGUCUGGUGGUGUGUGUGGUUUUCUGCUCCUGCGUGAGCAUAAACUUUGAUCAGCCUGUUGAUUUAUAUAUGUGUGUGGUAGUUAUGUUGGUGUCACUGGGUUUUCCCCGCGGUGAACUGCCCGAUGACGGGUGUUCAUCGUGGGUUUCCCAGGAAUGCUUGAACUCGCGUUCCCCUUUCUUUGGUUUCCUGGGUAGUUGUUGAACUGUUGUAUUUCCGUUAUGAAAGUAAUGGAAAGGGGUUGCGCCCGGUUCAAAAGAAAAA